GGGCCCGCACAAGCGGUGGAGUAUGUGGUUUAAUUCGAUGCAACGCGAAGAACCUUACCAGGGUUUGACAUCCUGCGAAUCUCUUGGAAACAGGAGAGUGCCUUCGGGAACGCAGUGACAGGUGGUGCAUGGCUGUCGUCAGCUCGUGUCGUGAGAUGUUGGGUUAAGUCCCGCAACGAGCGCAACCCACGUCUUUAGUUGCCAGCAUUUAGUUGGGCACUCUAGAGAGACUGCCGGUGAUAAACCGGAGAAGGUGUGGAUGACGUCAAGUCAUCAUGCCCCUUACAUCUGGGCUACACACGUACUACAAUGGCGUAUACAAAGGGUAGCGAACCAGUGAUGGUAAGCCAAUCUCUAAAAGUACGUCUC
rnacentral:rRNA from 1 species